AUGUUGCAGCACUUUCCAGCAGCAGUCAUCAAGGAAAUCUUCAUGGAACCAAGAUCAUAUAUUGAUCUUCAUGACACAGACUCGGGUAUUACGUACCAAUGUGUUUUCAAAUCCAGGGAGAACAUGACGGAGAAGUUUCUGUCAAGGGGCUGGUUAAAAUUUGCAAAGGAGAAAGAGCUGUCGAAAGGUGACGUUCUCUUAUUCAGUGUAGAGCAUCCUCCUGUGGAACGUAUAUUGGUCAAAGUUGAGAGAGGGAAGCAUUGA
rnacentral:lncRNA from 1 species